UAUCGGAAGGUGCGGCUGGAUCACCUCCUUUUGAGUAUGGUGAAUAUAAUUGUCUUAUCAGGCGUCCUCACAAGUUACUUGCAUUCAGGGUUUGAUGUUGGCAUAGGUUUGGGUUUAUGUUGGCGGUUUUUGUUCUGGGGGCCUUAGCUCAGCUGGUAGAGCACCUCCUUUGCAAGCAGGGGGUCGUCGGUUCGAUCCCGACAGGCUCCACCAUGAAAGUAUUUAUGGGUCUGUAGCUCAGGUGGUUAGAGCGCACCCCUGAUAAGGGUGAGGUCGGUGGUUCGAGUCCUCCCAGACCCACCAAUGUUAUAUCAAUUAUUCUGAAUGUGGUUUGCGCAUUUUUUAUGCUUAUCAGCCUUGGAGCUGUGAAGCGUUCUUUUAUAAUUUGAUGAUGUAGCAAGCGUUUGAACUUUUUAUUAAUAAUUUCUCAUUGGAAGCCUUAAGUGACAAUGUUUAUCCAUUGUCUUGUAGAUUUAGAGGCGACUUUGGGUUAUAUGGUCAAGCGAAUAAGCG
rnacentral:misc_RNA from 1 species